UACCUCACCAACUGGAAGGGUUUCCUUCUAGUGGGUGAGGUACAUGUACCUCACCAACUGGAAGGGUUUCCUUCUAGUGGGUGAGGUACAUGUACCUCACCAACUGGAAGGGUUUCCUUCUAGUGGGUGAGGUA
rnacentral:miRNA from 1 species